UCCAAAAUGUAAGGUUUCAUAUAGCUCAGCGAAAUGGUUGUUGAACUGAAGAACAAACCAGGGGAAGGUGGAGAGAACAGGGUACCCCGUCUCGGUCAACAGAGCAAAAGAAUGGUGCAAAGUGUGAACAUGAUCUACUGCCAAGAAAAAAGCAAACAAGAGAAGCACAAACACACUAUAGCACAAUUUAUGUGUUUGCUGCUACUUUUUCCCAUUUGACAGAGGAAGAUGGAGAUGGGGCUAUAAGAUGUUGACUGCCAUUGCCCUUCCAAACAUGUCGUUGGUGUCGAACCAUUCACAGUGAGGUUCAGUCCAUAGGCUGCUCGUGAUCCUUGCUCCUUCAGCUCCACUUCGUCGAUGCCAUCAGUCCGUAGGAGUAGGGGCGGUGUGCCCGUCAACAAACAAGAAC